AAUGUGUUUCGUCUCAUACGGCCUCCCAUACCGGUCCCAUUUCUUUUAUUGCACGAAGAAGAGAUUGCACGGUCUGCUGGACGGUGGGAAGAGAUUGCUGGCGCUUGGGCGCUGCCAUUGUCAACUUGUCAAGAAAGACUGGCUCCGCGAGCCGAAUCUCCCUGACACGUGACCACACCAAGGACAGAAGAACACGCGUGUGUUUAUCCGGUGGAGAGAGGCUCAUGAUGCUGAAUGCUGUCAUCAAUGAAUAGGAACCGCUGUGUUGAGUCGGCAGUAGGGUUUGGGGUUCAGUGCCUGUAAAUACAUGCUUGUAGUUUGAAUAAAGCUGUUUCAUGUGUUGACUUGUA